ACACAGCUAUACGCGGCACAGUGAGUGGUGACGUGAAGCAUUCUGGUCAAAACCUAUGUGAGUGUGUGUCCAAUGUUAGGUGCGAUUGAAUUCAUUGGAAUUUUCUUUUAUUUUGUAGAAAUCGAACUUACUUCCACCUUUUUUAAUAAUGAACAUAAUAAACCUGUUACUUUAAUUUAUUUACCACAUUCACUAACCAUUUAUUGACGCUGUAGUGCUGAGAAAAUAUACGUAUGAAUUGUAUUUAUUUGUACGCAUAAUUGUGUGUAGCAAAAACUGAAUACAAUAACAAAACAGCAAAAAUAUUGCCAUAUUAUAAUGCCACGUACAAAUCAUAUUUUGCACGCACGCUCACUGUCCAGCAUGUGCUACGACUACGACGCACACAAUCACAAACCAUUGGAAGGGAAAGGAACGACCAACGGUGUAGUGUGACGUCAUUGGAAGAAGAGUAGAAACGGUCGGGAGGGCGGAGGGAAGGACGACAUCAAUCAAAUCGAGCUCUCUAAUGCGAUGCGUCGCACGUGUCGCGAGUGUGUAGGUCUCACGCAUACGCUUGCACGCACACGCAUACAAACAAACGCACGCGUACACACACACUCACACAUACGGUUCGUUCGUUUCGUAAGCUGAUGAUAAUUACAUUGGUCCACAGCUGGUUUUAGCCGCAGAGAAUAAGUAAACAAUAUUGAGAAUAGAAUUGCUUAAAAGGUCUGCGAAUCAGCAGUAUUUUUUCUAGCUUUAUUGAACCUUUUGCGAGGCUGCAUAGUUUCCCUGUCGAUGUAGAUUCCAUUUGCAUAACGAUACACAUUGCCUGAUUAGUGGGGGUUGGGAUAUGAAUACACACACACACACAUACAUUGGCUUGUUCAGACAGCUGCUUCGCGGGAGAUGCUACCCAGGGAAUGAAAUCAUCACACUUGCUCGUUCUGCCCAACGAACCACGGAGCGUCGACCGAGCGAGAAAGCAUAUGCUGGUUUGGUUCCCUGUGUAAUCCAAGUGUGCAAUAGGUGAGUGUUUUGGAUGUGUUGGUGUAAGAAAGAUUUAAUGCAGGGAGUUUUCUACUGCAUCAGGCGAGUAGAAACCUGUCCAAAAAUCAAUUUUAAGCUACCGUUUUACACUAUUCAUUAGGAUUUUCUUGUGAUUUUUAUGGUGUUUUAAAACGUGACUGCUCGCAAACUACUUUCUUCCAUCGUUACCGCUAUCGUCAGUAAUAAUGAAACCGAACGAAUAUUUGAAUGAUGCUCUCCUACCGUUUUACCUUUCUAUUAAACACGCGUCUGAGUGUGUGCGUGCAUUAGUGCUGUUUACAUUCUAUCGCAACACCACUACAACCGUACCGCGGUAACAGCUUUUGCACGUGUUGACAGCCCGCUCGCUGCUAUGACUCAUCUUGCCAGGCUCGGCCGCGCGCUUCCCGCCGCUCUUUCCACCCUCUACUGCAACCUUCCACAAACAUCGAGUGGCUAUGGCGCAGCGCGUUCUGCAGCGCUUGCUUCAAUGUGUGUCUGUUGGAUUUCGAUGUCACGAACUCGAUUCGCCGUUUGCUUUCGUCACUUACCUUGCACUGGCUGGGGGUUACAACGCGGGCUGUGUCUCACCCCCUGCUUAUCCCUCUAUCCGUGUCUGUAUCGUGCCUGGCGGGCCUCCGCCGCAUCGUUAUGGCUGUCUGGAUUCUCCAGAAGUAACCCCACCAUCCACACACGGCUUUUUGGUUGGUUUGCAAUGUUGUCUAUUUCAAUUCCCAGCAGUACCGGUAAGCAGUGGAAUUUUACCGACAGAAUCAUCACGGAAUCAAGCGGGGGGACGAUAAACAAAUGGUCGCUACACGUGACACCGCCGCUCAGGGUGCUGUGUUUCCCGCGCGGAUGAAUAUCGAUAAGCCCUCUCACCUGGGUCAAAUCCAGCUCUUCAUACAUAUUGCUAUGUCAUUUAGACAAUCAGCACAGCAGAACAGUGAUAAACAACCCGGCCCAAGCAGUCCAGCUCGGAAAUGUCUUACUGGCCUCACGCCAUGUGAGUAGCGGUUUGUGUUUCCUACAAUCCAACUGUGCUGCUCGCCACGAGCAGCACAAAACUACCCACCAAAAUGUAAUUGAACGACUAUAAUCUGCUGACGCAAGCAGAAACCGUAAUAAACCGACACGUUAGGUUGCAAUUAGCUUCA